ensembl:lncRNA
AUGUCGGUAAGGGACAGGGUGUGUUCGCUAGCUAGGCCAUGCCAACAACUAAGAGACAGCCAUGUUGGUAAGGAACAGGGUGUCUUAGCUAGGUCAUACCAACCUCUAAGAGACAGCCAUGUUGGUAAGGGACAGGGUGUGUUAGCUAGGUCAUACCAACCUCUGACAGACAGCCAUGUUGGUAAGGGACAGGGUGUCUUAGCUAGGUCAUACCAACCUCUAAGAGACAGCCAUGUUGGUAAGGGACAGGGUGUGUUAGCUAGGUCAUACCAACCUCUGACAGACAGCCAUGUUGGUAAGGGACAGGGUGUGUUAGCUAGGUCAUACCAACCUCUGACAGACAGCCAUGUUGGUAAGGGACAGGGUGUCUUAGCUAGGUCAUACCAACCUCUAAGAGACAGCCAUGUUGGUAAGGGACAGGGUGUGUUAGCUAGGUCAUACCAACCUCUGACAGACAGCCAUGUUGGUAAGGGACAGGGUGUCUUAGCUAGGUCAUACCAACCUCUAAGAGACAGCCAUGUUGGUAAGGGACAGGGUGUGUUAGCUAGGUCAUACCAACCUCUGACAGACAGCCAUGUUGGUAAGGGACAGGGUGUCUUAGCUAGGUCAUACCAACCUCUAAGAGACAGCCAUGUUGGUAAGGGACAGGGUGUGUUAGCUAGGUCAUACCAACCUCUGACAGACAGCCAUGUUGGUAAGGGACAGGGUGUCUUAGCUAGGUCAUACCAACCUCUAAGAGACAGCCAUGUUGGUAAGGGACAGGGUGUGUUAGCUAGGUCAUACCAACCUCUGACAGACAGCCAUGUUGGUAAGGGACAGGGUGUCUUAGCUAGGUCAUACCAACCUCUAAGAGACAGCCAUGUUGGUAAGGGACAGGGUGUGUUAGCUAGGUCAUACCAACCUCUGAGAGACAGCCAUGUUGGUAAGGGACAGGGUGUGUUAGCUAGGUCAUACCAACCUCUGACAGACAGCCAUGUUGGUAAGGGACAGGGUGUCUUAGCUAGGUCAUACCAACCUCUAAGAGACAGCCAUGUUGGUAAGGGACAGGGUGUGUUAGCUAGGUCAUACCAACCUCUGACAGACAGCCAUGUUGGUAAGGGACAGGGUGUCUUAGCUAGGUCAUACCAACCUCUAAGAGACAGCCAUGUUGGUAAGGGACAGGGUGUGUUAGCUAGGUCAUACCAACCUCUGACAGACAGCCAUGUUGGUAAGGGACAGGGUGUGUUAGCUAGGUCAUACCAACCUCUGACAGACAGCCAUGUUGGUAAGGGACAGGGUGUCUUAGCUAGGUCAUACCAACCUCUAAGAGACAGCCAUGUUGGUAAGGGACAGGGUGUGUUAGCUAGGUCAUACCAACCUCUGACAGACAGCCAUGUUGGUAAGGGACAGGGUGUCUUAGCUAGGUCAUACCAACCUCUAAGAGACAGCCAUGUUGGUAAGGGACAGGGUGUGUUAGCUAGGUCAUACCAACCUCUGAGAGACAGCCAUGUUGGUAAGGGACAGGGUGUGUUAGCUAGGUCAUACCAACCUCUGACAGACAGCCAUGUUGGUAAGGGACAGGGUGUGUUAGCUUGGUCAAACCAACAAAUGAGAGACAGCCGUGUUGGUGAGCGACAGGGUGUGUUAACCAACUAG